rnacentral:rRNA from 1 species
ACCUAAGAGAUUAGGCGUUCCCUUCGGGGACGGAAUGACAGGUGGUGCAUGGUUGUCGUCAGCUCGUGUCGUGAGAUGUUGGGUUAAGUCCCGCAACGAGCGCAACCCUUAUUGCCAGUUGCCAGCAUUUAGUUGGGCACUCUGGCGAGACUGCCGGUGACAAACCGGAGGAAGGCGGGGAUGACGUCAAAUCAUCAUGCCCCUUAUGACCUGGGCUACACACGUGCUACAAUGGACGGUACAACGAGUCGCGAAACCGCGAGGUCAAGCUAAUCUCUUAAAGCCGUUCUCAGUUCGGAUUGUAGGCUGCAACUCGCCUACAUGAAGUUGGAAUCGCUAGUAAUCGCGGAUCAGCAUGCCACGGUGAAUACGUUCCCGGGUCUUGUACACACCGA